GGGCCGGCGAUGCGUCCUGGUCGGA
rnacentral:snRNA from 1 species